CUGACAUUUUAACCUAGACCUAACAUUUAAAAUGUGAAAAUUACAGUUAUAAACAAUGUCUAACAUUUCCGUUGCAAUGUUCAUUAAAAUAAAUAAAUUAUAACCACAGACAAGAGAAUAUUACACAGUGUAACCAUAAACUAAAUUCAACUUUAACAUGCAUUUAUUUACAGACAGACGCUGCCCGUACGCGCUGGGAUACCAAAUCAGCUUUUUAGGACUUCUCACAUUGUGUAUAUAUGUUAUUUUUAACAUAAUUUUGAUGACCUCUAUACAGUUUAUAAUAUUAUCUAUACGGGAAGACAGAGAGAUGGAGAUGAUAAGCAGGGGCGUGUUAAUGUCGGAGUAAAUGUCCUAUGUCCUGUAUAUAGGCGACGAUUCUAUCAGGUGAACCGACAUGUUUGCUAAUUCAAUAUAUCUCGAAAUUUACUAACCUGGGUAACUCCUUCACUUGUAUGAACAUCCCUUUGAGGGACACGACUAUGAUGCUGGCCAGGACACAUCUUGGUAGCUGCUCGAAGAACGGC